UCUCUGCAAGUUGAACGAGUGGAUUACUCAAAUCGAUUGUGCCAACUAAACAGACUUUUUGGGAUAUAAAGAAGGAUUUUAUCUAACAAAACGACACUACAUGUUAUAACUGGGAUCCAUAGGAUGACACAUCAGAGGAAGAUUUUCAAAAAAGUUCCCAGUUGUCUUGAAAGCACCGUAAAUCCAGAGAAUGCCAGACUUUGAUGACAAUGUUUGAUGACAAAAUUUGCCCACAAGAAGGACCACCGCGCCACCUUCCUGUUUAAGUGAGCGCAGCACAACAAGAGAUUGGAGAUGUAAGAGAAAUAGAGAUGGAGAGAGAAACAUCAAAUAAAGCGUCCUGCCUCUGUGCGACUGUCACAAUUUCUAUAGGAGCGCUCUUUCCACAACAGUCCACAAACACUCCCUCCACUCGCACGCGACCGAGUAGUCCGACCUCCUCAUUUAAAGCCACGAG
rnacentral:lncRNA from 1 species